rnacentral:rRNA from 1 species
UACGUAUGUCCCGAACGUUGCGCGAAUUUGCUGGGCGUGAAGGGUCCGUAGGCGGUUUAGCAAGUGGUUGGUGAAAUUUCACGGCUCAACCGUGAAACUGCCUUCCAAACUGCUAAACUUGAGGCAGGGAGAGGUCGGCGGAAUUCCCGGUGUAGCGGUGAAAUGCGUAGAUAUCGGGAGGAACGCCAGUGGCGAAGGCGGCCGACUGGAACUGGUCCUACGCUGAGGGACGAACGCGCGGGGAGAAAACCGG